rfam:Canis lupus familiaris chromosome 8, whole genome shotgun sequence.
AGGAGCAACAACCACAGUGGCGGCGGCCAGCUCUGGAGCCCUGGAGUCAGCUCCCGCAGUAAGUAUGGAGCUCUCAGUGUGCAUGGGCCUGGAUGCUUGGGGGCGGG